UAGUGUGGAGGGGGGACGCCCGGCCGGACCGCCUUGCCGGUCGCAGGCCCGGGGAGGGAGUUCAUCCUUCAGCAGGGCAGGAGGCCCUGACAUGUCCCUUUGCCCAGGAGAUUUGGGCACACACACCCCAGGAGGUCCCUCUUGAAAGAGCCAGAACGUAGGGAGCUCCUGCCCGAAGGUGGACAGACCUAGGUGUGGUGUGCAUAAGUGUGUGUGUAUGUGUGUGUGUCUCUGCGUGUGCGCGCGUGCAAGGCGAGAGGGUCUCCGCGUACCCCGCACCCUCUAUCUGGGAUUCUAUAUUUUCCCUUCCUUUGUUCUCAAAAUAGUAGGCUAGCGGGUCUGCGCUGCCCUGAGAAGGGGUGGGGGCCGUUGCGCGCUCGCUCUCGCGCGCCCGAGUUAGCUGCAGGGUUACAAACAGUCUCUCCCUGCUCCCCCGGCCUGAAUUAAUGUGUUACUAUUUUGGGCGCGCCAGUGUUUCCAGGGGAAACCUAAUGACGCAAUGACGUCAAUGCAGGUCAGCAGCAGACUCUCCGGGAGGGCGGGCGGGCUCCCGGCUUUCAGGCUCGGCGCAGUCUACUGGCGGGAGGGCGCCGGCGAGGUGGCGAGGGCGGCAGGCGCGGGGGCGCGGGAACCCCGGCCAGGCCCAGGGACCAGAGGGCGCCCCCUCCCAGCGCCCGGACCCGGGGGAGCCAGAGAAGCCAGCAGGUCCGGACUCGAUGAGGGGGCUCCACGCCGGGCCUCCCACGCACAGGUACGCGCAGGUCCUCAGGGUGUCCCCAGCAUGGGGAGGGAGACAUUCACACUCACUCCUGUCCACAUUCUUCUCGUGAUCUGGCACCGUAACUGGGAGUUUGGUGAAAGGACAAGUGGUGUCUGAGACCUACCCUCUUUGCCUGGGUCCCCCCACUCUUUCUGGCCUAGGAGCUGCUUGUUUGCUCCUCUCCAGUACCUCCGGUAGUCGAAGGCUAGAACUGGGGCUUCCCACUGGCGGUGCCUGUCUUGGAGGCGCCAUCUGAGGCCAGCAAGCUAAGCGGGAAAGGGUGUCCAGGCCAGACAGGCCGUGGGGAUGUGAGACUGGAUUGGGAGCCUCAGCAGCCUGGGAGGGGGUGGGCACUGCCCGUGAGCAGGAUGCGUGUAUGGGACUGCUUGGUCUGUGCCUGGUCUGGGAGCGCACCCCGGGUGUCCAUGGGGUGUGUAUGUACGCACUCACAGAAGUCUGCUGUGUCUUCCUGUCGGUGCCUUACGUGUGGGAGCACUUUCCACACCCUUCCUUGGCCCGCAGCUGGGGCACCUGCCCGGAGUGUAGGGUCCAGCGAGGGACCCACUUAGAUCCAAGGUCUUUACCCUGCUCAUCUCCCACAGUUGUUCCAGAUUUCACCCUACCCCCAGCCGGGCGGUGGCCGUCUUUUCUCCACACUGGCCACAGCUUCGGGCGGCUGCGGACUUCUCAGAGCUCAAGCUAUCUUCUUGCCCCAGCUCACUUGUGCCCUUCCCUCCUUGGAGCGUGAGUUGAAGAGGAGGAAAUCCCUUUCCAUCCGCCCCCUUUCGCCGGGGGUUUAAAAGGCUCGGGCUGAAGCCACCGCUCUCUGCCCGGGUCGGCGGCGGGCCUGCGUUUUCAGCACCAGGGUCCGGACAGCUCCACGCCCUCCCCCGCACCGCCUCUUUCCUCACCGGGCCUGAGCUCAGGACGUGGGAGUGAGCGUCCCCCGUCCUGGCCUUUCUGACCUCUCCCCCGCCCCCAACGCACACAAGUCUGGUCCUUCCUCCCCAUCCAGAUCUCUGUUCCGUGCCCAGGUGCUAGAAGGGGCAAAAACCAGCCUGCAAGAUCUCAAGCUGACUGGCAGGCAUCACCAUGUUACCAGCAGCCUGGCUUCCUUCAAGGAGUAGGAACUCUGAAGAGAGGCUGCCAAGGCCUUGCUACAAGCUCCUCUUCCUACCUCAGUUCAUUAAAAUAAGUAAAUAAAGCCAGAUUUGUUCCUCAGAAGAGGUGCCAGCUUUCAGAAGGUGCUGGUGGGGUUCAGGAUUUUCUGGAUUCUUUAAACACAAUUAGUAGCUCCUGAUAUCACCUUUCAGACAGUCUCACAGUCCUGUCCAUCCUUCUUUUCCUAAAUCCAGGCCUCACCUGGUGGAGGAAGGGGUAGGGAUGGACACUGCCCACCUCUUUACUUCCCACAACAGUCAGAGAGGAUUUGGCUAAUGUCAUAGCUUUGGGGGCUCUGGAUAGGGUGAUGUCUAUGUGAGUUCUCACUACAGCUGUGCCUUGAACUGUUGAAGGUAAUUUUUGUGGUGACAGAGCUCUGUGUAGACUUGCUGGGCUGUGACCACACAGAGACUUUUGGGACAGCCCCCACUCCACAUUCUACCCCAAAUGGAAUCUAGGACACAGCAAAUCUACUUGUGGCUCUCUCUAUUUCCGGAUUCUUUUAGUUGAUGAAAGAUGGCACUAGACUAUUGCCCCUGACACCUCUCUCCACCUUGCUCAGGAAUUGUCUUAUUGUCAUCUCAACUUCUCCAGGUAGAGUAGUAUGCGUGAUGCCCCAGCUGGUUCAGGGAUGGGUGAAGGAAGCCAAGGAAAAGCCAGCUCUUUCCACCCUGCCCCACCCUGUUUCAGAAACCUGGAGACUAUGAACCUCUUUCCCUAUCUGAGAAUCAGAACACUCUUCUUCCCUAGAUAUUCUCCUCUCUCAGGCAGCAGAGAUUAGGCCAAACUUGUCAUAUUUGACCCAGGGGCAGAUCCAGGUGUUGUCUUUCUCCUACUGAGCCCAAAGCACUAGAGGAGGUCUGGGCUUGGUGGGGAGGGUGUCUCUUUACAGAAACUCUGGGACCUGGAGUGAGGCAUGCACACUGUCAGCAGGAAAUGGCCUUUUCUCUGAAGAAGCCAUUGUUCUGCUUGCUGCUCAGCUAUCAGAGUGAGGAGAGGGGGGAAAAAAUACAGUCUAGGGACAAAAGAAGGAGAGUCAGUAAUCUCAAUCCAGUGGCACUUCCUUCUCAGAGGGUAGAAGCCUAAGACCAGAUCCAUGACAUCCUCAGUUUCCAUAGGUCUCAAGGGGAGUAAAAAAACAGCUGUUUCCCCAAAGGAAUUCAUUUGCAUGACAAAGCUGUGUGUGACUUGGUUAAGGAGGUAACAGCAUGGGAAAAAUAUGAAAACAGCAAGGGGAUAUGCCUUCCACCAAAGGACAGUGCCCACUCCCCAGCGCUCCCCACCCCAGGGUCUUUGCAGCCAAAAUUUGUUCCUCUGGGAGGCAACAAAGCUGCCACCAUCUGCCUAGCCCCACUCCUGGCUACUUUCCAAGCUUCCCUGGCUCCCUGGCCUCCUUCUGUGUUCAGCUGGGUGACAUCUGGCUGUGGCCUCAGGGGAAGGCUGGCCAAGGUCGGGCAGAUACAGAGGUGUUUACCCUGGGGACCUGAGGCUGACUUCUCCUUUGGUUGUGUGGAGCAGGGACCUAGGAAGAAGAGCUAGGGAAGGUGAGGGGCCCCACCUGGCAAGAAACCUGCACAUGACAUUGCACUGGGUGCUGAGGAGAUCCCAGGCCUCUGAGGUUGUCCUUGUACACCACAGGGCAUCUGGGCCAGAGGUCCCACUCCCCAGGGUCAGAUGCACAGCAGAGAUCUGGACUACCUCAGCACCAGUCCCAGCACAAGGGGCCAAAUUUUCCCUUCAGCUCCCUGCUGAUUCUUAAGCAAG
rnacentral:lncRNA from 1 species